rnacentral:rRNA from 1 species
CCUACGGGUGGCAGCAGUGAGGAAUAUUGGUCAAUGGGCGCGAGCCUGAACCAGCCAAGUAGCGUGAAGGAUGACUGCCCUACGGGUUGUAAACUUCUUUUAUAAAGGAAUAAAGUGAGGCACGUGUGCCUUUUUGUAUGUGCUUUCUGAAUAAGGAUCGGCUAACUCCGUGCCAGCAGCCGCGGUAAUACGGGGGGUACUAGCGUUAUCCGGAUUUUAUGGGUUUAAAGGGAGCGUAGAUGGAUUGUUAAGUCAGUUGUGAAAGUUUGCGGCUCAACCGUAAAAUUGCAAUUGAUACUGGCAGUCUUGAGUACAGGUGAGGUAGGCGGAAUUCGUGGUGUAGCGGUGAAAUGCUUAGAUAUUACGAAGAACUCCGAUUGCGAAGGCAGCUUACUAAACUGCCACUGACAUUGAGGCUCGAAAGUGUGGGUAUCAAACAGGAUUAGAUACCCUUGUAGUC